AAGGGCCCCGGGUCUGGCACCUCUCGGGGUUACAGCCUUGCUGAAGUAUUCACCCUUGUCUUUUGCGUACUUCUUGUUUCCUUGGGGGGUUCGCCCACCACUAGGACAAACAUAAACCUUUUGUAAUUGCAAUCAGCGUCAGUAACAAAUUAAUAAUUACAACUUUCAACAACGGAUCUCUUGGUUCUGGCAUCGAUGAAGAACGCAGCGAAAUGCGAUAAGUAGUGUGAAUUGCAGAAUUCAAUGAAUCAUCGAAUCUUUGAACGCACAUUGCGCCCUUUGGUAUUCCAAAGGGCAUGCCUGGUCGAGCGGCAUUUGUACCCUCAAGCUUUGCUUGGUGUUGGGCGUCUUGUCUCUAGCUUUGCUGGAGACUCGACUUAAAGUAAUUGGCAGCCGGACUACUGGUUUCGGAGCGCAGCACAAGUCGCACUCUCUAUCAGCAAAGGUCUAGCAUCCAUUAAGCCUUUUUUUCAACUUUUGACCUCGGGAUCAGGUAAGGAUACCCGCUGAACUUAAGCAUAUCAUAACCGAAGAAA
rnacentral:rRNA from 1 species